GGGAAAAUUGACAUUAGGCAAAUCACAGUGGCUGGAGGCAGGAAGAAAAGCGAUUUGCAAAGCCCCAGGUUAUCUCUCCUGAGUGACUGCUGGCAGCAGUGGCCAGGGCAGAGGGCAGGUAGAAACCCGACACAGAAGCAGCCUCGAGGAGAGCACCUGACCAGGAAACAAGCCUAUCAACACAGAAGUGCCACACCAAUGCCUGCCUUGUGGUGCACUGCACAUCCAUAAUGCAUGACCAGGAUGCAGGUACCCGAUGAAGGAGAUCGGAGCAGAGGAUGUGCGGAAAUCAAUCUCUUCUGUCUGGAGGCAUCUGGAUCCUAAAGGUACCAAAAUGACAAAGGCAUGGCUGCAAGUGACAGGAGACCAGAGACAAAAAUAACUACAUUGCAAAGGUAGACUCUGACAUGGACUCAGGUGAAAGAAAAGGAUGAUCUCUCCCUGAGCUUUGGAAGAGGAAAACUCAUAAAAUCCCAGCUGAAUAGAUGGAGCAGCAAACAUGCUGAGGACUGGCCUGGGGCCUGUCAUUCACUUAAUCAACAGCAAGGGUGACUCCACUGUCCUGGGUCAGGCUGCAUCACGGCAUCAGCCAGCAUCCCAGAGUCAAACAACAGCAGGCUCUGGUUCACAGGCGGUGAUACGCGCAUCUGUUGGAACUGCACAUCCACACCACAGCCUCUCUGCAGCUUGUUCAGAUUUGGAUCCAGAGCCUGUCCUGCAGCCAGCAGUGUCCCUGGGGCUGUUAGGCAUAUUCUGAGAACCUCUAUUCUAGGCCACAUGGCCGGAGUUGGGCGACUCAGGCUUUUUCCACUCACAAUUCCUUUAGCUUUGGGGGAAAAAAAAAACCCAGAAGUCAAGGGUUGGGUAUUGGGGUGUGGAGCUGGAUAGCUGGAUCAACAGUUAAGAUGCUUUUCAUGACCUCCAGAACUCCUGCAUGCACAUAAUAUAGACUGUAUGCACAUAUAUUACACUCAGGCACACACAUAAAAUAAAAUUAAUAUUCUUAAAAUUAUUUAAAAAACAAUCCAAGUCAGGCAUGGAGGCACUCAACUUUAAUCCCAAUACUCGGGAAGCAGAGGCAGGUAGAUAUGAGUUUGAGUCUAGCCUGAGUCCAGCCAAGGCUACACAGUAAGACCCUACAUCAAGAUAGAUAGAUAGAUAGAUAGAUAGAUAGAUAGAUAGAUAGAUAGAUAGAUAGAUAGAUACAUACAUACAUACAUACAUACAUACAUACAAGAUAGGUAGAUAG
rnacentral:lncRNA from 1 species